CAGAGUAAACAAGAAUUCAGGAGUUAUGUGACAGAAUAAAGUAAAGCCUCCGUGGUUCAAUACCAAAUCAAUUGAAAUAUGUACACUCGCUUUGCAGGAUGCAUCCACGGUAAUUACACCAUUCUGCUUUAAAAGGACACACCUCCUUCAAAUGUAACGACUCGAAUCCAGAUGAUAUAUUGCAACGAUGCCUCUCGUGCAGGCGCAUUAAGUUCGCUUAUUGC
rnacentral:sRNA from 1 species